rnacentral:rRNA from 1 species
GACGAACGCUGGCGGCGUGCCUAAUACAUGCAAGUAGGACGCAGUUGCGAACGGGUGAGUAACGCGUAGGUAACUACCUAUUAGAGGGGGAUAACUAUUGGAAACGAUAGCUAAUACCGCAUACUAGUAGAUGGACCUGCGUUGUAUUAGCUAGUAGGUAGGGUAAUGGCCUACCUAGGCAACGAUACAUAGACGACCCUAGUGGGUGGUCAGCCAAACUGGGAGUGGGACACAGGCCAGACCCCUACGGGGCGCAGGAGUAGGGAAUCUUAGGCAAUGGGGGGAACCCUGACCGGGCAACGCCGCGUGAGUGAAGAAGGUUUUCGGGUCGUAAAGCUCUGUUGUUAAGGAAGCGGUACUUAACCAGAAAGGCACGGCUAACUACGUGCCAGCAGCCGCGGUAAUUC